rnacentral:lncRNA from 1 species
CACAUUAUUAGCAUUAAGAAACAAAAUAAAACGAUCUUACAGAAAGUAAAUGUGCAAAAAUUAAAGAUUGAAGAUAAAAGAAUUACUUCGGUCUAAGACCCGCAGAUUCUGGACCACUUCUAAUGUGUACAUCCCCGGUUGAGCAUCCAAUAAAGUGGAUUGUGUUCGGUUGCACUAAAUAGCUCAAAAUAGCAACAGACGAGAUGAAAUGACUAGACCUGUGUGCCAAAUGAAAUGGCAUCCAAGAGAUAAAGCCCAAGAAUCAUCCAGAAGCAGCAGCCAACGGCUAGGAUUGAAGCCACAUGUGACAAUCCAGUAAAACUGUCUUUACUAAUAAAGUCGCAUUUCACAAAAAUGCUUUUUUCAACUCAAAAAUUCUGGAAGCACAAGUACAAGGUUCGAAUCCAACAAAUACAAAAACACGCUUUUUGGUUAGAUACACGCUCUUUGGUUAGAUUGGAAGAAAUUCCGAUACAUUACACUAAGAAGAUUCGGUAUUUAAUGGUGGCCUUUAUAUCAAGAAGUUUAUCACCAUUGUUGCCAAAGUUCUCAUGAAGAAAUUUCGUGAAAAGAAAUGGCCAAAUUCUAGGAAUAUCUACAAUUUCUCGAGUUACAUUAUUUUUGCGUACUUGAUGAAACAUUUUUUCUUUACAGAACUCGAAACAAAAAUUGUUUGAGAAAACUGUCUGAGCUACAACGUAAGUUUGUGGAACAAAGGCGCCUAUUCAAAUAAAGCUGGAUAUCCCAUGAUCAAUUCCCAUUGUACCCGACUUUCUUCAAUUCUUCCAUGCCCUCCAUUGUUCAGAUAUGAAGCUUCUUUAAUUUGUCAAGGAUUUCUUAGGCUUACAUAUUGCUCUGACGUCGCCAAGGUUGUCAAGAAUUUUUAUUCUUAUUUUCAAAGCUGAACAGAUCAAAGUAGGCUGAUGAAGAGAAAAAUUCAUAGAGUCGAAUUCUACUAAUGACUAGUUUCCCUGUUUUUAUCCGGAAUUCAUCACAUGUUUCAUAUGAAAUUUCAGUUUGAUCUCGUAUUAAAACCGAUACCUAAUAGUUGGUAGAUUAGAUGAGACCCACACGAAUCAAUAUCACUUUCCAUGAUGACUUGCGUUCGAUGCUUACACAAAAUUGUCUUAUAUUCAAUAAAGCAUGAUUAAGUUAGGUCUUUUUAUUCGUACUAUAAAAG